AUUGAACGCUGGCGGCAGGCUUAACACAUGCAAGUCGAGCGAGCGGCGGACGGGUGAGUAAUGUCUGGGAAACUGCCUGAUGGAGGGGGAUAACUACUGGAAACGGUAGCUAAUACCGCAUACCAUCAGAUGUGCCCAGAUGGGAUUAGCUAGUAGGUGGGGUAAUGGCUCACGUAGGCGACGAUCCCUAGCUGGUCUGAGAGGAUGACCGGCCACACUGGAACGGAGACACGGUCCGAGUUCAUACGGGAGGCAGCAGUGGGGAAUAUUGCACAAUGGGCGCAAGCCUUAUGCAGCCAUGCCGCGUGUGUGAGGAAGGCCUUCGGGUUGUAAAGCACUUUCAGCGAGGAGGCGUUACUCGCAGAAGAAGGACCGGCUAACUCCGUGCCAGCAGCAGCGGUAAUUC
rnacentral:rRNA from 1 species